rnacentral:rRNA from 1 species
CAGUCGACGGUGAUGCCCAGCUUGCUGGGCGGAUCAGUGGCGAACGGGUGAGUAACACGUGAGCAACCUGCCCCUCACUUCGGGAUAAGCCUUGGAAACGAGGUCUAAUACCGGAUACGAGCACUUACCGCAUGGUGGGUGUUGGAAAGUUUUUCGGUGGGGGAUGGGCUCGCGGCCUAUCAGCUUGUUGGUGGGGUAAUGGCCUACCAAGGCGUCGACGGGUAGCCGGCCUGAGAGGGCGACCGGCCACACUGGGACUGAGACACGGCCCAGACUCCUACGGGAGGCAGCAGUGGGGAAUAUUGCACAAUGGGCGAAAGCCUGAUGCAGCGACGCCACGUGAGGGAUGACGGCCUUCGGGUUGUAAACCUCUUUCAGCAGGGAAGAAGCGAGAGUGACGGUACCUGCAGAAGAAGCGCCGGCUAACUACGUGCCAGCAGCCGCGGUAAUACGUAGGGCGCAAGCGUUGUCCGGAAUUAUUGGGCGUAAAGAGCUCGUAGGCGGUCUGUCGCGUCUGGUGUGAAAUCCCAUGGCUCAACCAUGGGCUUGCAUCGGGUACGGGCAGACUAGAGUGCUGUAGGGGAGACUGGAAUUCCUGGUGUAGCGGUGGAAUGCGCAGAUAUCAGGAGGAACACCGAUGGCGAAGGCAGGUCUCUGGGCAGUUACUGACGCUGAGGAGCGAAAGCAUGGGGAGCGAACAGGAUUAGAUACCCUGGUAGUCCAUGCCGUAAACGUUGGGCACUAGGUGUGGGGCGGGUUCCACUCGUUCUGUGCCGCAGCUAACGCAUUAAGUGCCCCGCCUGGGGAGUACGGCCGCAAGGCUAAAACUCAAAGGAAUUGACGGGGGCCCGCACAAGCGGCGGAGCAUGCGGAUUAAUUCGAUGCAACGCGAAGAACCUUACCAAGGCUUGACAUGUACGAGAAAGCCCCAAAGAUGGGGUUCUCUUUUGGACACUCGUACACAGGUGGGUGCAUGGGUUGUCGUCAGCUCGUGGCCGUGAGAUGUUGGGGUUAAGUCCCCGCAACGAAGCGCAACCCUUUAUCCUAUUGUUGCCAGCGGG